UACGUAGGGUGCGAGCGUUGUCCGGAAUUAUUGGGCGUAAAGAGCUCGUAGGCGGCUUGUCGCGUCGGAUGUGAAAGCCCCGGGGCUUAACUCCGGGUCUGCAUUCGAUACGGGCAGGCUAGAGUUCGGUAGGGGAGAUCGGAAUUCCUGGUGUAGCGGUGAAAUGCGCAGAUAUCAGGAGGAACACCGGUGGCGAAGGCGGAUCUCUGGGCCGAUACUGACGCUGAGGAGCGAAAGCGUGGGGGAGCGAACAGG
rnacentral:rRNA from 1 species